GGGGGAAAAGGAAACAAAGGCGCCCGCCCCCCGCCGGGGGAGGGGUGCGCCUCCCUUGCCGACUUUUUCCCACCCCCGCCCUCGGACACGCCGACGAGGGCGGCGGCAGCCCCAGGGGAUCGCCGGGGAAGGAAAAGACGCCACCGCUCGGCCUCGGCACCUGAGGGGACCUGGAGCGCUCCAGGGGCACCACGGAGGGCCGGGCGAACGGCUCAAGCGCGCCCCGGGCCGGGGGGUGAGCAGCGCGGCGUCGGGCCGGCCCUCCCCGCGGAGGAGGGGAGGGCCGCUCGCCACGGACCCGGGCCUUCGGGAAAGGCCGGCGAGAGUGUCCCCGCGUCCGAGGGCCCCCGGUCCCGCCAGCGCCGCGAGGCAAGAAGGCGGGAGGCCGGGGUCGGGCCGGAGUCCGCACCACCCCCAACCCCGGCGCGCGCCCCCCGCGCACCCGCCACGACGGCCGGGCGCGGAGGAGCCGGGGAGGGAGGGGCCCGCGGGCAGAACGAGAAGAGCGGUCGCAUCCGCCGUGGACGCCCGUCCCUCGUCUGACGCGGCUUAGGCCCGGCCCAGGAGAGCACGAGAUCACCACAUCGAUCGAUCGGCAGCAAGCUGCGGCCCCGAGGGGGCUUCCCGAGGAGCAAAAGCCCAGCGAGGACGGCGACCGGGGGGACCUGCUUCCGCCUCACCGGCAAGCCCCUCGACCCCCGGGGGGGGGGGGGGCAGGAGCGACCGGACAACCCCAGACACAGCGGGGGACGCCUGACACGCGGCACGGAGCCUUGCGAGACAGGGGUUGUCACGGCCAACGGCCGGGUGCCCACGGCAUGGAGCGCACGGGGGUAAAAGACCCACCGCCACCUGCCCACACCGCCCUCCCUCGGGUGCCGGAGACCGGAGGGCGACACCGCGACCCGGGCCACCUGGAGUCCAGCACGAGAGCCGGCGCGCAGGCCCAGGCGGACGGCUCAGAGUUCUCCGGAGGCAGGCACCGUGCGGAGGCCGUCCCCCGCGGCCCUCAGGACCGCCCCGUGCCUACCGCCGUCCCCAACCCCGGCUCGGGCCAGGGGAGGUGGAGGGCCACGCGCGGCAGAGGCAGCCUCACCGGGAAUCGCCACCGGGGCCGGACGCCCGAACGGACGGCCCGCCCACCCCCGCGUGGCACCCGGUCCGACCGCCCGGGACCCACCUCCGCAGCGGGCCUCGGAAAAAGGGGAGAAAAUCGCGUCCGACGCCCGGGACCCCCACACGUGCCCGCAGCCGGGUCUGUCGCGCCACCCACGGGCUUCCCCUCCAGGCUCAGACCGGUCCCCGUCGCCAGGGCGUGACCACGGGAGACAACCGAGUGACACGGAAGGAAGGCCCGAAGAUCGCCCGGAGCCACAGGACGGACGGCGGGACACACCCUGUCCCCCGCCCCCGAGGCGGCCCAGGUCGGUCCGCGCGGGCGGAGGAGGAGCCACCGGCGGGUGCUGGUCGACCCACCCAGGCGGCCCGCACGGCCUCCUCCGGGAGCGAGGCGGAGGCGACAGCGGCGACAGCGGCGACGGCGACACUCCCUCGCAGCUCCGGAGGUCCAAUCUCCGGCGAGCGCAUCGCGCGCCGAGGCCCCGGCGACAGCCGGACGCUCGCGCCGGACCCGCCCUCCUCCUGGAACUGGGCCCCCGGGGAAACCGACACCAAAGCUGUUCCUUGCCUGUCGCCGCCGAGCCCCCGGAGGGGACACGCUCUAUAAAAGCGGCCGCCAGGUGGCACCCGAC
rnacentral:lncRNA from 1 species